UACGGGGGGGGCAAGCGUUGUUCGGAAUUACUGGGCGUAAAGGGCUCGUAGGCGGCCAACUAAGUCAGACGUGAACUCCCUCGGCUUAACCGGGGAACUGCGUCUGAUACUGGAUGGCUUGAGUUUGGGAGAGGGAUGCGGAAUUCCAGGUGUAGCGGUGAAAUGCGUAGAUAUCUGGAGGAACACCGGUGGCGAAGGCGGCAUCCUGGACCAACACUGACGCUGAGUGAGCGAAAGCCAGGGGAGCAAACGGG
rnacentral:rRNA from 1 species